rnacentral:tRNA from 1 species
GGGGUUGUGGCUCAGUGAUUGAGUGCUUGCUUUACAUUCAGGAGGCACUGGGUUCGAACCUCAGCACCA